rnacentral:rRNA from 1 species
CCUACGGGCGGCAGCAGUGGGGAAUAUUGGGCAAUGGGCGCAAGCCUGACCCAGCAACGCCGCGUGAAGGAAGAAGGCUUUCGGGUUGUAAACUUCUUUUGUCAGGGACGAAGCACGUGACGGUGCCUGACGAAUAAGCCACGGGUAACUACGUGCCAGCAGCCGCGGUAAUCCGUCGGUGGCAAGCGUUAUCCGGAUUUAUUGGGUGUAAAGGGCGUGUAGGCGGGAAGGAAAGUCAGAGGUGAAAACUAGGGGCUCAACCCAUAGCCUGCCUUGGAAACUGUAGUUCUUGAGUGCUGGAGAGGCAAGCGGAAUGCCGGGUGUAGCGGUGAAAUGCGUAGAGAUACGGAGGAACACCAGUGGCGAAGGCGGAUUGCGGGACAGUAACUGACGCUGAGGCGCGAAAGCGUGGGGAGCAAACAGGAUUAGAUACCCGUGUAGUC